UACGUAGGUGGCGAGCGUUGUCCGGAUUUACUGGGCGUAAAGAGCGCGCAGGCGGUCGUUCAAGUCGCGUGUGAAAGCCCCCGGCUCAACUGGGGAGGGUCACGCGAUACUGAUCGACUCGAAGGCAGGAGAGGGAAGUGGAAUUCCCGGUGUAGUGGUGAAAUGCGCAGAGAUCGGGAGGAACACCAAUGGCGAAAGCAGGUACCUGGACUAGUACUGACACUCAGCUGCGAAAGCUAGGGGAGCAAACAGG
rnacentral:rRNA from 1 species